UGAGACCCGCGCGUCUGACAGCCCGGUCCCUGCGGGUCUGGACGCUCUUUCCCUCCGCCCUCGGCGCCGGAGCGCUGGCCGGACAGGCCCACUGCCGCUGGGGCGGGAGGGGCAGCGGGGCGUCUGGGAGGGGAGGCAGAGGCGCUCCUGGGCGGGGCUGGGGCGCUGGUUCUUGGGAGGCUUUUUCCUUCCCGCCAGGACUUAAGCAGUGGAAGCUCUCUAACUCCUUUGAAGUUAUGUUGUAGGCUGGAGGGGAGGAACCUACUCCAAUGCUGACAACACACGCAUGUUUUUGUUGACAGGCAAGAGUAUCUCAAGAUGUGAAAUGAAUGUGUUGAAGUUUUCAGCUCCCAGACCCUGGCCAUGGAGUGUGAAGCACUGAUGCAGGAGUACCUGCACCUGCUGCAGAUCGUGGAGAUGGAGAAGACAGUGGCCAAGCAGCUACGGCAGCAGAUCGAGGAUGGGGAGAUCAAUAUUGAGCGGCUGAAGGCAGAGGAUAAUGCACAAUGAAGUAAAGGAGACAGAGAGCAUCCAGGAAAACAUAGCCAUGGAGGGCAUGAUCGUCGAAGGCUAUGAGACCCUCCUGGACACCAGCCAGACUUUUGUGAGAUGGGGCUUGGCACCCUGCCUCCCCCCAACAUCAAGUGAAAUUGACCUUUCUCUGAAGAGGCAGGAAUGGCAAAAUAAGACAAGCAGACCUGAUGGAGCUUCAAUUAAUUCAAAAAAACCAAAGGUAAGCCAAAUCAAGGGAUAACAAAUCUUAAAUGGACUAACAGUUUUGGUUGGGGGGACCUCAGAGAAGAAAAUAACCUCUGAAUGAUCAAAAUCUAGACCAGCUAGUCAAAAUAGUUUAUCACUUAUUCAUCCAAAAUAUUGAUCAACAGAACAAGUUACCCUCAGGAUAACAGCACAAUCCUAUUCUAGAGUCCAUAUGCACAAUAGGGUGUAUGACCGCCCUGUUGGAUCAGGAGAUCCCAGUCGUGUAGCCACCGUUAAUGGCUCAUUUGUUGAAUGAUUCAAGUCCUACGUGAUCUGAAUUCAGACCAGAGUAAUCCAGUCGGUUUCUAUCUAUUCCGUAUUUCUCCCAGUACGAAAGGGCAAGAGAAACAAGGCGUACUUUACAAAAACACAUUCAAACUAAUAGAUGAGAUAAUCUAAAUCUAAUAUAUAUAUGUAUAUAGCCCUGCCUAUGAAUGGGGUUUGUUAGGAUGGCUGAUUAAUUGCAUAAAAAGUAAACCUUUAUAGCCAGAGGUUCAAUUUUUCUCCCUAACAACAUGUUCAUAAUUAAUCUUCUUUUAUUAAUUGUCCCCAAUCUACUUUCCACAGCAUUCCUUACACUAAUUGAAUGAAAACUAUUAGGUUAUAUAUGACUCUGUAAAGGACCCAACAUCAUUGGCCCCCAUGAUCUGUGGAGACACGAGUAUUUAUGUCAGUGUCACAAGGCCAUCAGCUGGAGUUCACAUUGGAAAAUGUACCUGGGAAGACACCCUACAAAGGACUCAUUAGCACACAACUGAACAAGUAAUGUGGACUUUUGUAGAUGACAAUGUGAAAACAUACCUGGGAAGACACCCUACAAAGGACCCACUAGCACACAACUGAACAAGUCAUGUGGACUUUAGUCAAUGACCUAGUAUUUAAAAUGGUAGGAUAAAGAUGCAGGAAUCUAAAGUGUUCAUGGAAAUGCUGAUUGCACAACUCGGAAACAAGGAAUAAUCAACAAGGUAAACCAACAUCAACAGAUUUAUAAUUGCUUACAUGUACACAGUAAGAGGUUUUGCUGAACAAUUAAGUAUUUGUGUAUUUGUCUUGAUGAAAACAUGAAACUUUAUGUUGAAUAAAAAUGGGCCAUUCUCCUGUUAGUACAUUACU